rnacentral:rRNA from 1 species
AUUGAACGCUGGCGGCAGGCCUAACACAUGCAAGUCGAACGAGUGGCGGACUGGUGAGUAAUGUCUGGGAAACUGCCUGAUGGAGGGGGAUAACUACUGGAAACGGUCGCUAAUACCGCAUACUAUCGGAUGCGCCCAUCUGGGAUUAGCUAGUAGGUGGGGUAACGGCUCACCUAGGCGCCGAUCCCUAGCUGGUCUGAGAGGAUGAACAGCCACACGGGCACUGAGACCGGGUCCAGACUCCUACGGGAGGCAGCAGUGGGGAAUAUUGGACAAUGGGCGAAAGCCUGAUCCAGCCAUGCCGCGUGUGUGAAGAAGGUCUGAGGAUUGUAAAGCACUUUAAGCUGGGAGGCGUUACCAAAAGAAGAAGCACCGGCUAACUACGUGCCAGCAGCCGCGGUAAUUC